UAACAUCAUCUACCUACCUAGAUACCCACAGCCAAGGUGCAAAGACCACUCUGAGGGUAUUUGAAGGUACUUGAACACAUUUCAUCACUCAGGCAAGUCUGGGAAUACAGUAUCUUUGGCAUCCUCACAGAACUCAAAUGACUGGAAAGAAGUACUGACAAGUACGCCUGCAAAUUUAAGCAGGUAAGCAGAAAUCUUAACUUGGAUCCUCUUCAACAGAGAUAAGGAACCUAAAGCAGUUGAACAGCUGAAGCUUUCCUGUGCCCAAUGGGAAAUGAAGCUGUAAAUUCUGGGAACUGGGACUCAGCUCCCACACAGCUGUAGG